ensembl:misc_RNA Metazoa_SRP Metazoan signal recognition particle RNA
GCCGGGCAUGGUGGUUCAUGCCUGUAAUCCCAACACUUUGGGAGGCUGAGGCAGGCGGAUCACCUGAGGUCAGGAGUUCAAGACCAGCCUGACCAACAUGGAGAAACCCCGCCUCUA